UAUAAAUACGGAUCUGCCCAUAACUUAGCCACCCCUGCCUAGAUAGCAAGCGAAAAGCUUCAAGUAUAAGCUGUAAACCUUCUGCAAGAUGAACGCCAAGUUUCUGCUCGUUGUUGCUUUGGUCUGCCUGGAAUUCUCCACCACCAUUGCAGCGCCCCGAAGAAAGAGGUUCGCGUGCACGUUUUUUGACGGAGACUGGGCUUGUGAGGCCCAUUGUUACAUUCGGAACAGACAGGGAGGCUGGUGUGACGAUCAUAACGUCUGCCACUGCAGAUCGGAGACCAUAUUUGGAACUGCUCAAAGCUAUACGAACGCGUGAACAAUUUAAGAUGAACGACCCGAGUACAAUUACUACGACCCAGAGUACGAAAAGUUUAAAGACUGGAUUUGUAACAUUUUGAGUAAUAAAUUACAAAAAUAGUA